rnacentral:rRNA from 1 species
GGGCUCCUAAGUCACGGGGUACAGACCCGAAGCCAGGUGACCUACCCAUGGGCAGGGUGAAGUGCGCUUGACCGCGCACGGAGGCCCGAACCCGUUGGUCGUGCAACGCCAUGGGAUGACCUGUGGGUAGGGGUGAAAAGCCAAUCGCACUUGGUGAUAUCUGGUUCUCCCCGAAAUGGCUCUAGGGUCAGCCUCACGUCAGAGGCGGCCGGGGGUAGAGUACUGGCUGGGGAAGGGGGGAAACCUCCGACCCCAAUCAAACUCCGAAUACCGGCACGCCGUUCCGUGGGAGUGAGUCGGCGGGGGAUAACCUCCGUUGACGAGAGCGAAACAACGCAGACCACCAGCUAAGGCCCCAAAAUCCAGGCUAAGUGGGGAAGGCGGUGUGGUCGCUUAAACAGCUGGGAGGUUGGCUUAGAAGCAGCCAUCCUUUAAAGAGUGCGUAAUAGCUCACCAGUCUAGUGAUCGCGCGCCGAAAAUGUACCGGGGCUAAGCCUGGUGCCGAAGCUGUGGGGCGUCCACCGUAUGGUGGGCGUUGGUAGGGGAGCAUUCCGCGGUAGGUUGAAGCCGGGUCGCGAGGCCCGGUGGACGAUGCGGAAGUGAGAAUGCCGGCAUGAGUAGCGAAAGAUGGGUGAGAAUCCCAUCCACCGAAUGCCCAAGGUUUCCUGGGGAAGGCUGAUCCACCCAGGGUUAGGCGGGCCUAAGCCAAAGCCGAAAGGCCUAGGCGAUGGACAGCCGGUCAACAUUCCGGCCCCUCCGGAUCCGCGUUAUGAGCGAAGGGGGGACGCCGCUGGAGCUUCCUCGCAGGUUGACGGCUACACCUGUCCAAGCGUCAAGCCAGAGGGGGUAGGCAAAUCCGCUCCCUCGCAACCGUCUUGUCCCACCUUCGGGUGGGGCGGGGCGAACAGGCGAGGCGUGAUGGCAAGCCCCGUAAGGGGCGGAGGGGGAAAGGUUCAGCGGCCGAGAAAAGCCUCUAGCCAGUUGGUCCGGAGUCCGUACCGCAAACCGACACUGGUGGGCGAGGAGAGUAUCCACAGGUGGGCGAGCUAACCCUCGUCAAGGAACUCGGCAAAAUGGCCCCGUAACUUCGGGACAAGGGGCGCCUGCUGGGUUGUCGGGGAAACCCGAUGGCUUGGCAGGCCGCAGAGAAACGGCUCAGGCGACUGUUUACCAAAAACACAGGUCCCUGCCAACCCGAAAGGGGAUGUAUAGGGGCUGAAACCUGGCCACUGCCGGUAGGUCAAGGGGAGGGGUGCAAGCUCCGAACUGAAGCCCCGGUGAAGGCCGGCCGUAACUAUAACGGUCCUAAGGUAGCGAAGUUCCUUGUCGGGUAAGUUCCGACGCGCAUGAACGGAACAACGACUUGAGCGCUGUCUUGACGAGGGGCUCGGUGAACUCGAAGCACGGGUGAAGAUUCCCGUGACCCGCGGUGGGACAGAAAGA